rnacentral:rRNA from 1 species
AGUCACUGACAUUAGAUACCCCCGUAGUCCAGGGUGUAAACGCUGCAGACUUGGUGUUGGAAGUCCUUUGGGGGCAUUCAGUGCCGGAGAGAGGUUGUUAAGUCUGCUACUUGGGAGUACGUCCGCAAGGAUGAAACUUAAAGGAAUUGGCGGGGAGCACCGCAACGGGAGGAGCGUGCGGUUUAAUUGGAUUCAACACCGUAAAACUCACCAGGGAAGACUGUUACAUGAAAGCCGAGAUGAAGACUCUGCUAGAUUUUUCAG